CUGAGGCUGAAAACAUAUGCUUCCUCCUCUGUCUCUGGUGUUAUUUAAGGAAAAAGGCACCCUAACCCCUCCUCUCUCUCUCUCUCUCUCUCUCUCUCUCUCUGCACUGGAAUGGGUGUGGUUUUUCGAAGACAAACUUCUGAAUGAUUUGUGUGCAUGCGUCUCAGUUCCUGAGUCGUUCUAGAGGAGGAGCGUGAUGCAGAGUAGCACUCAGGGCCCGGCCUGCGCUCACAGUGGAGUAAAAAAGCAUAAGGCUCCAUGCCUUAAGGCUCCUCUGGCUGGAUAUGGAACUUCUCAGGACAGCCGGGACCAAACUGAAGCUCCUCCAGAGCCUCAGAGAACGCUGUUAUCUGUUCCAUCUUGUUAGAGAACAUCUGGAGAAAAUAUCUGGAGAGCUACUUAUUGGGAGUGGACUUUGAAGAACAGAGAUGUUAUGUGUCAUUUGGGAAAGUAAGGCUGUUGCAAUGUUUUUGUGUACUGUGCAAUAUUAAAACCCUUUGGUCCAGA